rnacentral:rRNA from 1 species
CCCUUAGAUGUUCUGGGCAGCACGCGCGCUACAAUGGUCUUCGCAAACAGAUGCAUUCUCGAAGGAGAAUGCCAAUCUUGGAAUCUAUGCCUUGGUCGGGACAGUUGCUUGCAAUUUUUCGACUCGAACCAGGAAUUCCUUGUAAUCGUGAUUCAUCACACCACGAUGAAUACGUCCCUGCCCUUUGUACACACCGCCCGUCGCUCCUACCGAUCGAAGAGCUAGGUGAAUUGUUUUGAUCGAUAAGAUUUGACUAUGGUCAACUCUCGUUGGGAAAUUCUGUGAAUCUGACUGUUUAGAGGAAGGAAAAGUCGUAACA